UAAUAUUUGCAGGGUUAAAAAAUACAAAGGAACAAACCCGAAAAUUAUUCGUCUGCCCACCAUUUCUGGUGUCUCCUGUGGAUUCUGUGAAUACUAGCUAGGGCUUUUCCUUGAUUAAUUGGCGCCUGAAACUCUUGUGCCCUUGCUCUUGAUUCCGAUAGUGUGCGAGGAAGUGUCAACAACAAAAAUAGUUAAUCACGCUAACCAUGCCGCCGCGUUCCUGUAAAUCACUGGAAGAAAGGCUGGGUGCGGCUGGGAGCAUUCUCAUUCAGCCUCCCACCCCGCCGCGGAACUCUUGACUCGUCUGGAUCACCGGCUCAUCUAUGGGAGUUAGCCUAGCACCGGCCAAACUCCGGGGUUUUUGCAGCCGUAACAUCUGGCGCAUCCACUCCCGACAAGCUUAUGGCGAGGGCGAUGAUACGCUUUGUCAGAAACAUUUGGAUGAAAGUUAGACAUACAAAUAUGAAGGUGGUCUUGACUUCAGCCCUUGCUACCCAACUGAUCGGAUCGCCUCCAUCGAAUGUGGGCAACGGUGUCAUAGCCACACCUCUGUGGCCGGGAGCAUAGACUGGCAGUACCACAGCCUCGCAAUGGGCCUGCGGGCUCGCCAGUGGCACAGUCUGUGGCACAUUAUGCCCUCCUGAUGCUGCCCGGGAUGUUCCGGCAGAUACAGAACUCUCUUGCAUCACCUUGUGGAGCAUUGAUGAUAAAGCGGCCAGAGAAGCCACAAUCUCUGCUAACUGCACACUGUUUUCCUCCAGUCGCGCAUUAGUUUCAUCCAACUAUCUCUCAACUCUUCUUGGUCGGUUUCUAUCCUAUCAAUUCGCUCUGCAAUCUCGUCAUUCCGGCGGGAACGGGAUCCAACAUGAAACUAUGACAAGUUUAAAUGUAGCAAGGGGUUCAGAGACCCGGGAAGAAAUCAGAAGAGCAAACACCAAGAGAAAGCAAGUUCCAGAGACAAUGAGGUUUUGGAAAGACAAUGGUCGAGACCUAAGCUUCUCAAUGGCACUGGAGAAGCUGAGCAAGCUAUAGUUGAGGUAAGUCAGCCGGAGCCUAUCUCACACACAAUCUGGUUGGUGUAGUACCCUCUGAACCAACUUCGCAGAGAUAUCAGGCUACUGAGGAGCCACAGAAACCCAAAAUUAUGUCUGAAGCAACAGAUGUGGCUACUGAGGAUCCAUCUGGUAUUUUGAUGAUGCAGGAUAGGGAUUUUUGAAACCACUGUUGUGCAAUCUACUCUGGCCUCUGUUACUUUAGAAAUUGUCCAAACAUCCACUUCUAUGGAAACCACUGUUGUGCAAUCUACUCUGGCCUCUGUUACUUUAGAAAUUGUCCAAACAUCCACUUCUAUGGAAACCACUCUUGCCACUACUGUUGCGACCACUGCUUCGGAUGUGGAAGAAGAAUUGGCUGCAGUAGGAAAAAUUGAAAGAGAAGGCCAGAAUUCGUAAGGAGAGGCUGCAUAAGUUGACUGAACUACUUAAACAAUGGUGUGCAGCAAGGAGGAUUCAGAAGCAUGCUCGAUGGAUGAUUCAGUUCAGAAUGAUGUGGACGGAAGUCAUGAGUACCUUAGUGGAUAGGCCUACAACCUACUGGGAAUUACGAAGAGGACUCAGGCAUCGCAAUCUUGAUAGGCCCUUUAUUCCUCAAAUCCAAGUGGAGCAUUUUGUAUGUGAUUUAAAUGUAUGUUCUACUGGCACAAAGCAGAAGCCUGAAGUUGCACAAUCUAUACUAUUUAAAGUGGUGAAGUCAGAGGAAGUUGCGGUGCAAGAGGAACCUUCUGAGACAUUUGAGGAAUCGGAACCCCAACCUUCAGUACCAAUUGAUUUAACUUCAGGUUCUGCAAUCUUGCAACAACUUGAUCAACUGGAGGCUCAAGCUGCUGCUCUGCAAAAUGGGCUGGCUGACUUUUUUUUUUUUUUUAAUGGGCUGGCUGACUUGCGAGGUGAUCAUGCAGGAAUUAGUCACCUGGGAGCAGGAAUGGACGAUUUACGAGCACAAUUGAGCACCAUCAUGGAUGUGGUAUCCCGAAUAAACGGACAUAUAUACAGUAAGGAGGAUUCAGAAGCAUGCUCGACUGAUGAUUCAAUUCAGAAUGAAGUGGAUGGAAGUUGUGAGUACCUUAGUGGAUAGGCCUACAAGCUACCAGGAAUUACGAAGAGGACUCAGGCAUCGCAAUCCUGAUAGGCCAUUUAUUUGUGAAAUCCAAGUGCAGCAUUUUGUAUGUGAUCAAAAUGUAUGUUCUACUGGCCCAAGGCAGAAGCCUGAAGUUGCACAAUCCAUUCUAUAAAAAGCAGUGAAAUCGGAGGAAGUGGCAGUGCAAGAGGAACCUUCUCAGACAUUUGAGGAAUCGGAUCCCCAACCUUCCAGUACCAAUUGAUUAACUUCAGGUUCUGCAAUCUUGCAACGACUUGAUCAACUGGAGGCUCAAGCUGCUACUCUACAAAAUGGGCUGGCUGACUUGCGAGGUGAAGUUCAUACAGGAAUUAGUCACCUGGGAGCAGGAAUGAACGAUUUACGAGCACAAUUGAGCACCAUCAUGGAUGUGGUAUCCCAAAUAAACGGACAUUUUGCAAAUUAAUUUGCAGCAAGGAGGAUUCAGAAGCAUGCUUGACGGAUGAUUCAAUUCAGAAUGAAGUGGAUGGAAGUCGUGAGCACCUUGGUGGAUAAGCCUAUAACCUACUGGGAAUUACGAAGAGGACUCAAGCAUCGCAGUCCUGAUAGGCCGUUUAUUCCUGAAAUCCAAGUGGAGCAUUUUGUAUGUGACAAAUGGAUGCCCUACUGGCCCAACGCAGAAGCCUGAAGUUCCAGAAUCCAUUCUAUAUAAAGCAGUGAAAUCGGAGGAAGUGGCAGUGCAAGAGGAACCUUCUCAGACAUUUGAGGAAUCGGAUCCCCAGCCUUCCUGUACCAAUUGAUUUAACUUCAGGUUCUCCGAUCUUGCAACGACUUGAUCAACUGGAGGCUCAAGCUGCUACUCUGCAAAAUGGGCUGGCUGACUUGCGAGGUGAAGUUCAUACUGGAAUCAGUCACUUGGGAGCAGGAAUGGAUGAUUUGCGAGCACAAGUGAGCACCAUCAUGGAUGUGGUAUCCCAAAUAGGGGGACAUUUUUCAAAUUAAUUUGCAGGUAUAUAACUUUUAAUUGAAUUUGGCAUGUGUUGAUGUGUCUUAACUGAUUUAAUUGUUUCGACGACUAAGUUAUUUUAGUUCAAUCAAGCAUGGGAAUAUGGGAAUACUUGAUGAAUGCCAUAAUUGUGUUGUGUCAAGUGCUUUGGAAGAUAAGAAGUUCAAUGGAUUAGCUUUGGCCUUAUUGCUUAACUGACUUUGAAGUAUACUAUAUUAACGAAAUUAAAAUGAUUUCAUUUGAG